rnacentral:piRNA from 1 species
UGCAUAUCAUUCACGCCACGCUCCG